GGGGGAUGUUUUCCAGCCCAGAGUUCUGCUGCACCGAUUAGAUUUUAAGCAGAAGAUGAUUGUUAAAGGAGAAGCUUCUUUAGACCACAGACCUCCUGAUGACUUGCAUGACCCAAAGGCCCUCCAGAUCAAGCAGGAACAGAAGGGAGUCUACAUCAAACUGCCAGGAGAGCAGCUCAAUGGGAAGGAGGUUUAUCUAGACCAAAUUAAAGGCAGAGAGCUUCCAGAAGAGAAUGAUGGAAAAGAAUCCAGUGGAAUACAAGAUCAUGGAGAUGCUUUCAUUUCUUCAGAGGCUGAAGACACCGAGGAGGAUGAAGACGACAAUGAUGUAGAUCACCCUCUGUUUGAGCUGAAACACAUGUCAUAUUCUGGAUAUAAGAAAUGUUCUACAGAGAAGAAAAAUGUGGAGUCAUCUAGGAAAGUCUACACAGGAAUGAAGCUUAGUUGCAAAGACUGUGGUAAAACUUUUAUGGGAAAAUCUGAUUUAAACAAACACAUGAGAAUCCACACAGGAGACAAGCCUUUCUGUUGUGAUCUAUGUGGACAAAG